AGGCUUGAACAACGGCCUCAAGAGUGCUACCUGUGUCCUGCGCUUGUGGAAGCGAUGCGAAGGCAUGCAGGACCCCGGGGCGGUACCGGGCGGCUCCACCAAGGGCAGUUCAUGGCGCAAUGAACGGUUCGUCCGAUUGCCGCCGAAAAGCCGGGUUGCGACUGCGGGGCAGGCACAUGAAGAGGUGCUGACCUGCUGCUCGCGCAGGCGAUGGACUGUCUCUGAUGGGGCCGAAACAGGAUAGACUGGUGUCGUAGUUGAGUGGAGAGCGUCGGGUGGAAAUCCGUUACUGUUCCAUUGCAACAACUGCAAACUUCAACCGCGCACCAGCAGGUGCACUGGCGGCCUGACCGCCUGGGCUCGCAGGGGAGCCUCGAAACAGAAGGGGGCCACG
rnacentral:tmRNA from 1 species